rnacentral:lncRNA from 1 species
UCGCUCUUUCUUUUUUACCUCCAUCUCUUUCUCUCUUUUUUCACAGGGGUACCAGCGAUCAAACCACUUCAUAGCCACCCAAGGUCCCAAGCAGGAGAUGAUCUAUGACUUUCUGGAGGAUGGUGUGGCAGGGAGAAUUGUUUCAGUAUCGUCAUGAUCACUAAACUGGUGGAGGUGGGCAGGAUGAAGUGCUGUAAGUAUUGGCCCGAGGACAGUGAACUCUAUGGAGACAUCAAGAUCACAACUGCUGAAGACAGAAACACUGGCUGAGUACACCGUCCGCACCUUGCUAUGGAGCGGGUGAGCGAAUAGUCAAAGUCCUUCUGUCUAACAAUUAUACAUAAUUUGAAAAUGUAUUGGUUCCUGGGAUCACAUCCAAUUUGAGAGUGUUUUGUUUACUCCAUUUGUUCAGCCAGGCAGUUUAUUGAGAACACAGCCUUUAUAGAGGCAUUGAAUAUCUAACAAACAAUGAAUCAUUUUAAUGUUAAUUGGUCCUUGGAGUUAUUCCUCAUGUUUAGAUAAAGAUGUCUUAUUAAAUGUCCUAACUGUGGCCAACUUUGUGUCUGUUUGUUGAUCAUGAAUAUUGAUUAAGACCCUCUGUAUUCUCCCCUCCA